AGUAACGGCGAGUGAAGCGGCAACAGCUCAAAUUUGAAAUCUGGCCCUCGGCCCGAGUUGUAAUUUGCAGAGGAUGCUUUGGGCGCUGGCGCCUUCCGAGUUCCCUGGAACGGGACGCCACAGAGGGUGAGAGCCCCGUAUGGUCGGACGCCUAGCCUGUGUAAAGCUCCUUCGACGAGUCGAGUAGUUUGGGAAUGCUGCUCAAAACGGGAGGUAAAUUUCUUCUAAAGCUAAAUACCGGCCAGAGACCGAUAGCGCACAAGUAGAGUGAUCGAAAGAUGAAAAGCACUUUGAAAAGAGGGUCAAACAGUACGUGAAAUUGUUGAAAGGGAAGCGCUCGUGACCAGACUUGCGCCCGGGGGCUCCGUCAGCGGUCUCCGCUGGCGUACUCCGCCGGGCGCAGGCCAGCAUCGGCUCCCCUAGGGGGAUAAAAGCUUCGGGAACGUGGCUCCUUCAGGAGUGUUAUAGCCCGCUGCAGAAUACCCUUCGGGGGGCCGAGGUACGCGCUCCGCAAGGAUGCUGGCGUAAUGGUCAUCAGCGGCCCGUCUUGAAACACGGACCAAGGAGUCAAGCAUUAGGGCGAGUGUCUGGGUGCCAAACCCGCACGCGGAAUGAAAGUGAACGCAGGUGAGAGCUUCGGCGCAUCAUCGACCGAUCCUGAUGUUCUCGGAUGGAUUUGAGUAGGAGCCUUACCGCUUGGACCCGAAAGAUGGUGAACUAUGCCUGUAUAGGGUGAAGCCAGAGGAAACUCUGGUGGAGGCUCGCAGCGGUUCUGACGUGCAAAUCGAUCG
rnacentral:rRNA from 1 species